rnacentral:lncRNA from 1 species
AAUGAGAUUUAGGAAGGCGUUCCAAAUUACAUUCAAGGUAAUCAUAUAAGUAAACGAAUCACAUUGGAUAGUAGACAUGAAUAAACUAUCAAACCAAAUAAUGUGGUCAAGAGUAUUGUAUUAGAGAAAGACCGUAUUGCAUUUGUAAUCUUAAACUGAAUAGGUUCUCCACCUCUUCUGAUUAGCUUGGGUAACCAUGAUAUGCUG